rnacentral:rRNA from 1 species
ACGGGAGGCAGCAGCUAAGAAUAUUCCACAAUGGACGAAAGUCUGAUGGAGCCACGCCGCGUGGACGAUGAAGGCCGGAAGGUUGUAAAGUCCUUUAGCAAGUGAGGAAUAAGCGGGAGAGGGAAUGCUCUCGUGGUGACUGUAGCUUGAGAAUAAGGAUCGGCUAACUCCGUGCCAGCAGCCGCGGUAAUACGGAGGAUCCGAGCGUUAUCCGGAUUUAUUGGGUUUAAAGGGUGCGCAGGCGGCUUUUUAAGUCAGUGGUUAAAUCGUGACGCUCAACGUCAUCACGCCAUUGAUACUGGAGAGCUUGAUUGCGGUCGAGGUUUGCGGAAUUCGUUGUGUAGCGGUGAAAUGCAUAGAUAUGACGAAGAACACCGAUUGCGUAGGCAGCAGACCAGGCCGUAAAUGACGCUCAUGCACGAAAGUGCGGGGAUCGAACAGGAUUAGAUACCCUGGUA